UGCUUCGGUAGCACAUGCAGUAUACCAAAAUUGGAAUGAUACAGAGAUUAGCAUGGCCCCUGCGCAAGGAUGUCAUGCAAAUUUGUGAAGCGUUCUAUAUUUAA